GAUGAAGAACGUAGUGAAAUGCGAUACGUAGUGUGAAUUGCAGAAUUCAGUGAAUCAUCGAAUCUUUGAAUGCACAUUGCACCUCUCGGUAUUCCGGGAGGUAUGCCUGUUCGAGCGUCAUUUGUACCCUCAAGCUCUGCUUGGUGUUGGGUGUUUGUUCCGCCUCUGUGUGUGAACUCGCCUCAAAACAAUUGGCAGCCGGCGUACUUGUUUCGGAGCGCAGCACAUUUUGCGAUCCAGAUCAACGUACAGCGGCAUCCAAGAAGCCUUAUUUAACGCUCUUGACCUCGGAUCAGGUAGGGAUACCCGCUGAACUUAAGCAUAUCAAUAAGCGGAGGA
rnacentral:misc_RNA from 1 species